AAAUAUGCUAAAUAAAAUGAUACGGAGGGGGUAUAAUUCAUGGGUAACACUAUUCCCCUCAGGGCCCUUAAAAUCCAAGUCUGCGUUUUCAACUAAUUUCUACUCCAAAGGAAAAAAAUUAGAUCUCCUUGUUCCUUGUAAAUCUAAUAAAAAACAUCACAAAAAAAAAAGGAACAACUUUGGUAGAGGAAUCACAGAGGCUGUUUUUCUUUACUAGACUAGCCGGUGAAGAAUUACUUAAAGGAGAUAGCUAUGGAAAUCGUAACUGAGGUUGAAAGGGGUUGCUUCUAUGGUUGGUGUCCCAAAUUGAAGUCACGUUACUUGUUGAGCAGGAGAGCCAAGAAAAUUACAUUGGAAGUGACUAAACUUCAAAACGAAGGUAACGAGCAUGCUGUUUUCUGCUAUCCUGUACCAGUACCUAGUAACAGUGAUGAGGAGGUCAUGGCCGCUUUGAGAGAUGAAAGGAUCACUAUUGUUGGGAUAUGUGGUAUGGGUGGUAUUGGUAAAACAACACUGGCUGAGAAAAUAAGAGCAACGGCGAAAUAAGCAGGGUUGUUUAAAAAUGUUGCCAUGGUUGUUUAAAAAUGUUGCCAUGGUAACUGUCAGUCAACAACAAGACAUCAAAAAAAAUAUCGCCAGAGGAGUCGGUCUAACAUUAGAAGGGGACGAUUUGUUGCAGCGUGGAGAUCGGCUGCAUUCAAGGUUAAUGCAGAAGGGCAGUCGUGUCCUUGUAAUUUUGGAUGAUGUUUGGAAGGAAGCUGAUCUUUGGAAGGAAGCUGAUCUAAAGAGGCUUGGAAUUCCCAAGAGUGCUUGCAAAUGUGUAUCAACCUCUGAAGAUAAAGCUAUGAGCACUUACCGAGUGAUGAAGCCAGGUUUCUUGUCCGAACCUGGAAGUGCUAGAACUCGAUGACGCUAACAGCAUAACUGCUCUAUGCUCUCACCCACUUCCAACUGCCUACUUCAGCAAACUUAAAAAAUUGACUGUGAUGCGUUGUGGAGAAUUGAGAAACUUGAUGUCUCCAUCAGCGGCCAGAGGUCUUCUGAAUCUCCGAACACUAUGGAUACAAGAAUGUCAAUCAAUGAAAGAAGUGAUCACAGAAGAGGAACAAGAAGGAGAAGAAAUCACGACAAAUGAGCCCUUAUUUUGGAAGUGUUGAACCUUUACAAUUUGCCAAAGCUGAGGCAUUUCAUUCUGACUAAGCAUGCUCUUGAAUUUCCAUUACUUAAAGAAGUGAAUAUUACUGAAUGCGGUGAAAUGAAGACAUUUAUCCAACAGGAAACUGUGAUUACACUGACUUAUCUGUGUUAGUAAUAUCUAGAAAUUCCUUGAUUUUGAACGCGGUUAUUAUUGUAUAUUAACUUGAGGUCAUUGGAGAUUUCUAUAAAUUUCAAAUUUUAAAUCUA